rnacentral:rRNA from 1 species
AACGAACGCUGGCGGCAGGCCUAACACAUGCAAGUCGAACGAAGUCUUCGGACUUAGUGGCGGACGGGUGAGUAACACGUGGGAACGUGCCUUUAGGUUCGGAAUAACUCAGGGAAACUUGUGCUAAUACCGAAUGUGCCCUUCGGGGGAAAGAUUUAUCGCCUUUAGAGCGGCCCGCGUCUGAUUAGCUAGUUGGUGAGGUAAAGGCUCACCAAGGCGACGAUCAGUAGCUGGUCUGAGAGGAUGAUCAGCCACAUUGGGACUGAGACACGGCCCAAACUCCUACGGGAAGCAGCAGUGGGGAAUCUUGCGCAAUGGGCGAAAGCCUGACGCAGCCAUGCCGCGUGAAUGAUGAAGGUCUUAGGAUUGUAAAAUUCUUUCACCGGGGACGAUAAUGACGGUACCCGGAGAAGAAGCCCCGGCUAACUUCGUGCCAGCAGCCGCGGUAAGAC